rnacentral:rRNA from 1 species
UACGUAGGGUGCGAGCGUUGUCCGGAAUUAUUGGGCGUAAAGAGCUCGUAGGCGGUUUGUCGCGUCGACUGUGAAAAACCUACAGCUUAACUGUGGGCUUGCAGUCGAUACGGGCAGACUUGAGUUCGGUAGGGGGAGACUGGAAUUCCUGGUGUAGCGGUGAAAUGCGCAGAUAUCAGGAGGAACACCGGUGGCGAAGGCGGGUCUCUGGGCAGUAACUGACGCUGAGGAGCGAAAGCGUGGGGAGCGAACAGG